GGAGAGGUGGCCGAGUGGCUGAAGGCGCUCGCCUGCUAAGUGAGUAUAGGGCACUCCCCUAUCGUGGGUUCGAAUCCCACCCUCUCCG
rnacentral:tRNA from 1 species